AACGCACAUUGCGCCUAAGAGUAUUCUUUUAGGCAUACCUGUUCGAGCGUCGUUUCUAGAUUAUAGCAUUGCUAUGCGUUGGUAUUCUGUAGGUUCAAUCUACUGAUUACUGAAAUAAUGAGGCUACAUGAAUUUCAACCAGAAGUACAGUGGAAUGUAAUUUGCGGUUGACUCAAAAUUCAAAAGUAGUGUAUAUCAUGAAAUAUUUAAUGAAAUUAGUUCGACCUCGAAUCAGGUAAGAUUACCCGCUGAACUUAA
rnacentral:misc_RNA from 1 species